rnacentral:tRNA from 1 species
GGUGGCUCAUUGGUACAGUGCUUGCUUUGCAUGCAUGAGGCCCUAGGUUUGAUUCCUAGGCACCA